UUACCAGUGAUAAAGGAAGCAGAGAAUAGGAUGGUUUUUCUGGAACGAAUCAUUCAUCAGCAGCUGCGACCGCGUUAUGAGAGUGACCCUUUUCAUGCAGUCUGCAGCGGCAUAUUACAACAGCAAUUAACACAUGCAGCAUCAUUAAGUCCUUAUAAUGCAGCAUUCUAUUCUUGUACGUUUUGCCUCGGGAAAGUUUGGAAAUCUUUACUACUUUCCUUGCGAUCUUCUUUUCUUAUUACGUCGUACCGCUAGUAUGGUUGUUAUCUGUCAUUGUUGCCUUCUGCCAAGUUGCGCUCUAUGUAUUUACUGCUUCCAUU
rnacentral:sRNA from 1 species